rnacentral:rRNA from 1 species
AACGUAGGAGGCAAGCGUUAUCCGGAGUUACUGGGCGUAAAGCGAGUGCAGGCGGCGCGUUAAGUGAGGGGUCAAAGGUCCAGGCUCAACCUGGGAAAGGCAACACAGACUGACGGGCUGGAGGCAGCUAGAGGGACGCGGAAUUCGGGGUGUAGCGGUGAAAUGUGUAGAGAUCCCGAGGAACACCAGCGGUGAAGACGGCGUCCUGGGGCUGACCUGACGCUGAGGCGCGAAGGCGUGGGGAGCGAACGGU